rnacentral:rRNA from 1 species
GACGAACGCUGGCGGCGUGCUUAACACAUGCAAGUCGAACGGUAAGGCCCUUCGGGGUACACGAGUGGCGAACGGGUGAGUAACACGUGGGUGAUCUGCCCUGCACUUCGGGAUAAGCCUGGGAAACUGGGUCUAAUACCGGAUAGGACCACUGCCUGCAUGGGUGGUGGGGGAAAGCUUUUGCGGUGUGGGAUGGGCCCGCGGCCUAUCAGCUUGUUGGUGGGGUGAUGGCCUACCAAGGCGACGACGGGUAGCCGGCCUGAGAGGGGGACCGGCCACACUGGGACUGAGAUACGGCCCAGACUCCGACGGGAGGCAGCAGUGGGGAAUAUUGCACAAUGGGCGCAAGCCUGAUGCAGCGACGCCGCGUGAGGGAUGACGGCCUUCGGGUUGUAAACCUCUUUCAGCACCGACGAAGCGCAAGUGACGGUAGGUGCAGAAGAAGGACCGGCCAACUACGUGCCAGCCGCCGCAGUAA